rnacentral:rRNA from 1 species
UAGGGAAUCUUCGGCAAUGGGGGGAACCCUGACCGAGCAACGCCGCGUGAGUGAAGAAGGUUUUCGGAUCGUAAAGCUCUGUUGUUAAGGAAGAACGAGUGUGAGAAUGGAAAGUUCAUACUGUGACGGUACUUAACCAGAAAGGGACGGCUAACUACGUGCCAGCAGCCGCGGUAAUACGUAGGUCCCGAGCGUUGUCCGGAUUUAUUGGGCGUAAAGCGAGCGCAGGCGGUUAGAUAAGUCUGAAGUUAAAGGCAGUGGCUCAACCGUGGAGGGUCAUUGGAAACUGUUAAACUUGAGUGCAGGAGAGAAAAGUGGAAUUCCUAGUGUAGCGGUGAAAUGCGUAGAGAUUAGGAGGAACACCAGUGGCGAAGGCGGCUUUUUGGCCUGUAACUGACACUGAGGCGCGAAAGCGUGGGGAGCAAACAGGAUUAGAUACCCUGGUAGUCCACGCCGUAAACGAUGAGUGCUAAGUGUUGGUCUCAUAAGAGAUCAGUGCUGCAGCUAACGCAUUAAGCACUCCGCCUGGGGAGUACGACCGCAAGGUUG